rnacentral:rRNA from 1 species
GACGAACGCUGGCGGCGUGCUUAACACAUGCAAGUCGAACGGAAAGGCCCUAGCUUGCUGGGGUACUCGAGUGGCGAACGGGUGAGUAACACGUGGGUGACCUGCCCUGCACUUUGGGAUAAGCCUGGGAAACUGGGUCUAAUACCGGAUAGGACCGGGCUUUAGUGUGUGAGGUGGGAAGCUUUUCGGCGCAGGAUGAUCGCGCGGCCUAUCAGCUUGUUGGUGGGGUAAUGGGCUACCAAGGCGGCGACGGGUAGCCGGCCUGAGAGGGUGUACGGCCACAUUGGGACUGAGACACGGCCCAGACUCCUACGGGAGGCAGCAGUGGGGAAUAUUGCACAAUGGGCGCAAGCCUGAUGCAGCGACGCCGCGUGGGGGAUGACGGCCUUCGGGUUGUAAACCGCUUUCGGCUGGGACGAAGCUUUUGUGACGGUACCUGCAUAAGAAGCACCGGCUAACUACGUG